UAUUUGAAUGGCAGACUACAUGUGAGCACUGUAAGAUAUUCCCCUUAGGGGAUGGGGCUGCUUUGGGAAGAGCAUCUGUAUGCUUGCUUGCAAAAGGCUUCAAGUUCCCUCCCUGGCAUCUGCAAGAUAAUGUUAUGAACCAAAAUGGUUCUUGCCUACUGUGAAGAAAUGAGGCACAAACCUCUUCUCCAUUGUAUACACCUAUAGAAUGUUGGCUGGUCUCUGUGUGGGGUCAAAAGUUCAUUCUUGGUUUUCUGUAGUUUCACUUUUGGUUUAGCAUUUUGACAGUUGAUUUUUGGAGGGAAAGGAGAUUUCAAGAAAUGGAGGGAAUUUUUAUUUGUUCUGAUUGGAUGGCUUAAAAAACUGUUGGGCCAGAGAAAUUGUAUAUAUUGGAAGUGUUUUGAGAGGGAAGAGAGUUAAGUCUACUCCUGAGAGAGAGUCCUGGAGGAGUGAGUCCUGAGGGAGAGCCCUGGCAGCAGAGUUUGGAAGUCUGUAGAGAGUGAGCAUCCUGCAAGAAGAAGAAGAGAAGCCUUCAAACUGAAAUCACUGAAGAACAGGAAGAUCCAGGCUGAGCCCCAGACCUGUGCCAUACUCUGAACAAAGAGUCUGCCCAGCAAGCCAGUAAGAAAGUAUAAGAGGACUCUGAGUAGGGGACCUGUAUAGAGCCAGGAAACAUCCCAAAGAAAACUUUACCAUGCAAAAUUAUUGGGGCCAGACUGGAGGAGAGAAAAAUCUUGUGUUCACUUUUCUGUGUAGAAGAAUAUUGAAGACAUCAGACCUUUGAGAAAACAGAGAAGCAGCCGAAAAUGGGAUUGGGGACAGAGUGGGAAAGAGGUAGUUUUCCUUCAUAGCAUCCAUGUGGUCUCUUAAUGCUCUAAUUGAAGAAAUAUAGUGCAGAUAUCCCAUGCCUGAACUAAUCUUUUCAGGGAGCGAUUUUGAAGAACUGAGUCAAACAGAGGACUGCCGUUUUCCACCCCUGAUGGAAGCUUUGUACCUUUUAUAGCUUCAUGAUAGGCAGAAUUUCAUCAGGUCAUGGAAGGUGUGUGCUGGGAGGGUUGCCACACCACUCCUGAAAAACUGGGCCAGAAUCUAUUGGCUAAAGGGGCCUGCUUCCACCUGUUCCAUAGCAAGACUGGACUUGUAAAUGAAAGCCUUAUUCACACCUUCUUCUUGAAUUCUUAACAAACGUCACUCCUGCAUCUGGUCCAUUUGAAAAUGCCCCCAUAAUCACAAGGGCUAGAAACUUGCUUUUGGAAGAAAAAAAUUAAAGCUGAGAUUCUCAAGACUUUACUGGAGUUAUCUCAUUCUAAGUUCGAGGGCAUAUUCUACAGUGAACAUUUCCAGUGUCUGGACCACCUGAUUAAAUUCACCUACCCUGGAACAUUAAUUGCCAUUGAAAUCCGUGUUAUUUCUUCUUCCUUCAGAUGUUUGCCUAUAUUUUAGAUCAGUGCUGUGCUCUAGAUUCUUCAGGUGACACUGAAGCAUCACAGCUGCUAUCUUGUUACAUGUGCCAAUGCCCUACUUUUUGACCCUUGGUUUUGUGAGAUUGUACUGUUUUGAAAUUGAACUAAGCCCUUGUGCAUUUUUCAAAAUAAAUAAAAACAUGUGGGUAUAUUAA